UGGGGAAUAUUGGACAAUGGGCGCAAGCCUGAUCCAGCCAUGCCGCGUGUGUGAAGAAGGCUCUAGGGUUGUAAAGCACUUUCAGUCGGGAGGAAAGCUUAAAAGUUAAUACCUUUUGAGUGUGACGUUACCGACAGAAGAAGCACCGGCUAACUCCGUGCCAGCAGCCGCGGUAAUACGGAGGGUGCAAGCGUUAAUCGGAAUUACUGGGCGUAAAGCGCGCGUAGGUGGUUCGUUAAGUUGGAUGUGAAAGCCCAGGGCUCAACCUUGGAACUGCAUUCAAAACUGGCGAGCUAGAGUACAGUAGAGGGUAGUGGAAUUUCAGGUGUAGCGGUGAAAUGCGUAGAGAU
rnacentral:rRNA from 1 species